UGGCUCUACAAUUGAACAUGCCCCCCUCACUCAUAAAAAAAACUAGAGCCUUUUCCUCUCCUUUUUCAACCUUCCAACCGUCGCCGAGAAGAGACAGAACCGGCCCCCCUUCUGAAAACCCUACCCGCUUCCUUCUCCAUCUCACCCAUUCACUCCCUCAUUCUCACAUAAUACACUCAUAAACUCAUUUUAUCCACUUGAAGUUCAUUGUUGAGAUCUGACGUCUUAAGCUAUGAAAAAUACACAAAAACAGCAGUUAAAAAAGUGCUCCAAAUAGCCUAAAAAUAUUAGUCUAGAUCAGUGGUUUCAAAAACCCCAUAUUCAUCCGGCAUUUUUGGGUUUCUAAGUUGAUCUAACUGAGUUUAUCGUUGAUGUGUGGCUGAUCCAUGUCAACUGGUAGCUGAAUUCCCAAAUUGUAGCAUUUUUCAGUAAUUAUUUGGCAAUUUUAAGGACUUGUUACUGCUUUCAAGAUUCAGGAGCUCCAGGUUCUGCUAGCGAGGGUUGAUAGCUUCCAGCAGAUUUCGGAGUCCACUAGGUAGCUGCUCGGCGAUCGCAACCCAGUGUUUUCUCCCUCUUGUCAUUAUUUCUUUCCCGUGUAUUGGAUUUGGUACUAGACUGUGUAGUCCCUUUUCUGUAUUCCUAGACUAUGUUAGAUGCUCAUGAUUGGUGAUACCCCGAUGUCGGGCUGUAUUGGUUUUUCCGCAACUUUUACUAUUUCACUGUUUAUUUGGGAUUAAAUUAUGUUAUUGUGCCCUUUUAAUUGCUUAAAAAUGAAUUGGUUGUUG